rnacentral:rRNA from 1 species
AGUGAACGCUGGCGGUAGGCUUAACACAUGCAAGUCGAACGGCAGCACAGUAAGAGCUUGCUCUUACGGGUGGCGAGAGGCGGACGGGUGAGGUAUACAACCGAAUCUACUCUUUCGUGUGGCAUCACGUAGGGAGAGCUACGCUAAUAUCGCAUACGACCCACGGGUGAAAGCAGGGGAUAUUCUGACCUUGCGCGGUUGAAUGCGCCGCUGUCGGAUUAGCUGGUGGGCGGGGUAAAGGCCAAGCAAGGCGGCGAUCCGCAGCUCGUCGGUGAGGAUGGUCAGCCGCAUUAGAGCUGGGACACGGACCAGACUCCUACGGGAGGCAGCAGUGGGGAAUAUUGGGCAAUGGGCGCAAGCCUGAUCCAGCCAUACCGCGUGGGUGGAGAAGGCGUUCGGGUUGUGAAGCCCUUUUGUUGGGAGAGAAAAGCUUCAGGUUGAUACCCCGCUGUACUGACGGUAACCAAAAAAUAAGCACCGGCUAACUACGUG